GAGCUGGGUGGUAGGGAGCAGGUGCUGGGUGGUAGGGAGCAGGGGCUGGGUGGUAAGGAGCUGGUCUGUGAACAACAGGGGCUGGGUGAUAGGGAGCUGGGU
rnacentral:lncRNA from 1 species